rnacentral:lncRNA from 1 species
CCUCAACUUGAUUAUAAAGUGUACAUAUAUGUGAUCUGAAAUUAAAUCACAUACAAUUUCAUCUUUAUGUGUAUAGGUACAAUCUUUAAACAUAAAAUCAACAAGUGAUCAAACCAAUCCUAACUAAAUAUUAUUACACACAUAUCAAUCUUACACAAUGUCCUAUUUAAUUAAUUUUCCUAAAAAAGUCAAAUUCUAAUGACAUCUUUUUAUUUGCUUACAAUUUAGAUCAAUCAUAUUCUCAAUAGAAAAAUACUAAGUUCAGGUCCUCCAUUACCAUCAGGAUUCAGCAUGUAGAAUGCUUCUGAGUCACGGCUCCCAACGACUCGUUCAAACUUAGCUCUCAUAUACAUCAACUCACCCUCUGACCCGCCGCAACCACCACCGUCUUCCAACAUCGGAAUCACUCCAGCACCAACGGAGACGCUCUGCACGGUGGUCAGCACGUGCCAAUCUAGUUCCCCGCACGUGCGUGAAACUGCAUAGCCGCACUUCCUCCCAUUGCAGUACAUGGUCCAGUCAGGCUCAUGAAAGAGCCUGACUCGGCCUCCGCUGACAGCAGAGGCCGUUGAUGAUGUCUUCCGGCACUCGAGUGCUAUGCGUACGAGUCCAGAAGACAUCUCUUUUACAAGUGAAGAAGUGGACAUGGCGAGUUCGAGAAGGAGGAGAGGCUCAGCGCGAGGGUGAAGUUGGACGGCGAAUGAUAUAUGACCACGGCGGUUCCCGAAGAGUGUUCCGGUGACUUUGCGGCCGAGUGAAGGGGAGAUUGAAGUGGAGGAGAGGGUGGAAGGAAUGGUGAGCCAGUUGCAUGUUGGAAAUAUGGUUUGAAAAGUGAAGAUGUUGAGGAAAGAACGUAUAAGUGAAGAUAGCUUCUUUGUUGUUGUUGUUUGUUUUGCUUGUUGUUGACGUUGAUUGGAGAAGGAAGAGAUUGAGGGUGAUGAUCCUUGUCUUAUGAGAAGGUUGCCGGAGAAAUCAUCGGAUUCUGAGAGUCGGUGGUUUGAAGGGAUGAUUCUACGAUUGUUUCUUGUUGUGAUGGUGGCGCUUGUGCUUGUGCUUCUUUGGAGGGUAAGGUUUUGUUGUUGUUUCAUGCUUUGUUAGUUAGGAACACGGAAUGAAAUGAAACUGUAGACUAUACUUGUACAAAGAUGGAAAGAUUGUGAUUGAAGUUUCCUAGAUGAAGAGAGAGAAAGGAGGUGACAGAAGUGAUGAUAGUGUUGGGGGAAAGAGGGGAAAAAUUAAUAUAAAGGGAGGCUGUGGAGGGUUGUGCUUCUUAUGAUCAUCAUUUGUUGGACUUUUGUUUUGUACAUAUGGCCCUACACUACACUACUGUCCUACUUUGUUUACAACUAACUAGUGUGUGUAUAUUUUGGGUAUGUUUGCC